CUACGUGCCAGCAGCCGCGGUAAUACGGAAGGUCCAGGCGUUAUCCGGAUUUAUUGGGUUUAAAGGGAGCGUAGGCCGGAGAUUAAGUGUGUUGUGAAAUGUAGACGCUCAACGUCUGAAUUGCAGCGCAUACUGGUUUCCUUGAGUACGCACAACGUUGGCGGAAUUCGUCGUGUAGCGGUGAAAUGCUUAGAUAUGACGAAGAACUCCGAUUGCGAAGGCAGCUGACGGGAGCGCAACUGACGCUUAAGCUCGAAGGUGCGGGUAUCAAACAGGAUUAGAUACCCUGGUAGUCCGCACAGUAAACGAUGGAUGCCCGCUGUUGGUACCUGGUAUCAGCGGCUAAGCGAAAGCAUUAAGCAUCCCACCUGGGGAGUACGCCGGCAACGGUGAAACUCAAAGGAAUUGACGGGGGCCCGCACAAGCGGAGGAACAUGUGGUUUAAUUCGAUGAUACGCGAGGAACCUUACCCGGGAUUGAA
rnacentral:rRNA from 1 species